rnacentral:rRNA from 1 species
AACGCGAAGAACCUUACCUGGGCUCGAAGCGCAGUGGACCGGGGUAGAAAUAUCCCUUCCCCUUAAAAGGCUGCUGCGUAGGUGCUGCAUGGCUGUCGUCAGCUCGUGUCGUGAGAUGUUGGGUUAAGUCCCGCAACGAGCGCAACCCUUAUCCCUAGUUGCCAUCGGGUCAAGCCGGGCACUCUAGUGAAACCGCGCAGGAUAACUGCGAGGAAGGUGGGGAUGACGUCAAGUCCUCAUGGCCUUUAUGUCCAGGGCUACACACGUGCUACAAUGGCCGGUACAAACCGUCGCAAACCCGUGAGGGGGAGCUAAUCGGAAAAAGCCGGCCUCAGUUCGGAUUGGAGUCUGCAACUCGACUCCAUGAAGCUGGAAUCGCUAGUAAUCGCGGAUCAGAACGCCGCGGUGAAUACGUUCCCGGGCCUUGUA